rnacentral:tRNA from 1 species
AGUUAAUGAGCUUGUUUAAGUAUAUAUUUUGAAAAUAUAAGAAAGAGAUGUAUCUCUAUUAACUU